rnacentral:rRNA from 1 species
UAGGGAAUCUUCGGCAAUGGACGGAAGUCUGACCGAGCAACGCCGCGUGAGUGAAGAAGGUUUUCGGAUCGUAAAGCUCUGUUGUAAGAGAAGAACGAGUGUGAGAGUGGAAAGUUCACACUGUGACGGUAUCUUACCAGAAAGGGACGGCUAACUACGUGCCAGCAGCCGCGGUAAUACGUAGGUCCCGAGCGUUAUCCGGAUUUAUUGGGCGUAAAGCGAGCGCAGGCGGUUAGAUAAGUCUGAAGUUAAAGGCUGUGGCUUAACCAUAGUACGCUUUGGAAACUGUUUAACUUGAGUGCAGAAGGGGAGAGUGGAAUUCCAUGUGUAGCGGUGAAAUGCGUAGAUAUAUGGAGGAACACCGGUGGCGAAAGCGGCUCUCUGGUCUGUAACUGACGCUGAGGCUCGAAAGCGUGGGGAGCAAACAGGAUUAGAUACCCUGGUAGUCCACGCCGUAAACGAUGAGUGCUAGGUGUUGGGUCCUUUCCGGGACUCAGUGCCGCAGCUAACGCAUUAAGCACUCCGCCUGGGGAGUACNACCGCAAGGUUG